AAACUUAUUCAAGAAAGCAGAGAUCAAGAUUGUUGAAGCAAAUUGUUCAGUUUUACACAGCCAAGUAAAGGAAAUUCAGAGCAAGAAUUUAGAACAAACCCAAUCUGGUGUCUCUCCAAUACUGAUGGCGAUAGGAGAUAGGGGCAGGAGGAUAGAAAGUGGGCAAGGAAAGGUGCUUCAGGAAUCAAAGGUAAGCCAGUUUGCAAGCCUGUGUAAUAUAUCUAGCCCUGGAAUUAUUUGUGUUUUUACUUACUCUUUUCCAUUUCAAUUUAAGUCAAUCCUCAAAAGUCCUCCCAAGGGAAAAAAAGUACAGCAUAUUAGUAAGUAAGCACAGGAAGCUCCAUGAUACAUAGAGAUUUUUUAUUUCAGAAGCCCAACAAAUAAGUCAUAAGCUGGAAAAUUACUUGUUAAGGUUCAGUAGGGUUCCUGGGAAAUGGAAUAUGAUUUUUACUGUGAUUCAGUGCUAUGGUAUAGACAAACAAUAAGCAGUAUAUCUAAUCAGAUACACAAAGACAAUGGAGAAACCUUUGCUUUCUUCUUCACCCAAAAGAAGAGACUGGGGGGACCAAAAGGGAUUUUCCAUACUCAACAGGUAGAAAAAUGAAAAACAAAUAAUAGAAAAUAUUAAAAACCCAAGGGGAAAUGCUUAAUGCUAUUUUUAGGCUCUCUUUUCAUAGCGUAUUUUAAAAGGUCAAUUGUGAUAUAGAGUAUGCAUCAUUUAUGAUGGAAGGUAAAAAACUAAAUUGGACUUGGGAGGGAAGUGGUUCAAGAUUGCUUUUUAAAGUAGUGUAUUCAAAUCAGUAAAGAGCAAUGAUACCCAUUGCUAGGCUGAUUGCUUCAAUCAAACCCAGCAGUAAAAAGGCACUUCUUUAAAGAAGGUAGAUGAGGAUAUACAACUGGUAAACAAAAUCAGUAACGAUGCUUUUGAUAAUGGGAGGAUUUUUAAAAAGACAAAAUAUUGAUUGGCAAAAAUGGAAAGAAAGGGUAGAAGAUGCAAUUAACAUGGAUUUGUCAAGAACAAAUUAUCAGACAAAUGUAAUUUUCUUCUAGAAAAAAAUGUUGGGAAUUUUGUAUGGGGUGGAGCCAUAGGAUUAUAUGUGGACUUUAAAAACAUUUGUAUGGAAGAUAAGACCCAGAAACAGCAAAUCACAUAAAACAAUUGUGGAACUCAAGAAUUAUACAGUGAACACCAUUGCCUUCACCAUCCAGGUCAAGAACAGAAAUUUUCAGCCUCCGCAGAAGACCUUCAGGUACCUCAUUCUAAUCUCAGCCUCCUCUUUGGACAGGGAAUAAUUAUUAUUUGCAUGGUAAUCACUUCCUCGUAUUUUUUGAUAUAUCCAUGUCUGUUGGUUUUCUAGGGCUAUAAUAACAAAUUUAUCAUAAAGUAGGUGGCUUAAAACUACAGAAAUUUUUUCCCUCUCAGUUUUAGAGGCCAGAAAUUCAAAAUGAAGGCAUUGGCAGAGUUGGUUCCUCUGGGGGCUCUAAGAGAAGAUUCAUUUCAUGCCUACUUCCCAGCCUCUGGUGAGUGCUGGCAAUCUUUGGCAUUUCUUGAUGUGUAGCUGUCUCUACCUCCAAUCUCUGUCUCUGACUUCACAUAGUCUUUUCCUAUGUGUUUAUGUGUCUAAAAUCUCACUCUCCUUUCUCUUAUAAUUGGAUUAAAGGCUCAGCCUAAAUCCAGGAUGAUACCAUCCUAAGAUCUUUAACUUAAUUACAUCUGCAAAGACCCUAUUUUUACAUAAUUUCACAUCUGCAGGUACUAGGUGGUGAGGACUUGGAUAUAUUUUUUAGGAAAUAUUACCCAACCAUUAGACCAUGUGUAUAUCCUUUGUCUCAAUAGUUCAAUAGUGCCUAUUUAUUAUUUUUAAUGUGUUAUAUGAUUUAACUCUCUUAAUCUACAGGUCUCCCUCCAUCCCUUUCUUUUCUUCAGUAAAGAAAAUCUGUUGGUAUUGAUUUAUUAAGGGUCUCUACAAACCACUUUCAUUGCAAUACAUUGGUAGUCUAGAGAGAAUAAUAAAACUAGAGGUGAGAUGAGCAAUUACAUUCAGAAAAGGAAACAAGCUGUUCUAAGACUCUCAUGUUACAAAUUAGUGCUUUGUAACAGCUUAUUAAAAGGGCUAAGCCCUUUAACCUGUUUCCCACCACCUUGAUACAGCUGCUUGCAUAUGCUAAGACUCCUUCCUUGACCAAACUUUAGAUAGGCGCCUCUGAGCCCUCGUUUUGACUAGGCCUUGUUCUUGGGCCUGUCUUUGGCCUGGCCAGUCCAAAUUGCAGCAAGAGUCCUGAUGAAUCAGUUUAGCAAAAAUUCCCCCAUCCUUGAUAUUUGAUCACUCUUGAUAUCUGAUUAAAUUCCAUAUCCCCCAUCCUUGAUAUCUGUUUAAGCCUGUUUUGUGUUGCUAUAACAGAAUACCUGAGACUGGAUAAUUUAUAAAGAAAAGACAUGUCUUUAUCUCUUGGUUCUUGUGGCUGAAAAGUCCAAAAGCAUGACACCAACAUAUGCUCUACUUCUGAUGAGGGCCUCAUGCUGUGUCAAUAUGGCACAGAAGCAGAAAGACAAAUGGGUGUGUGCAAAGAGACAUGCAUGAGAGGCUGGGCUUGCUAAUAAGAGCCUGCUUUCGUGGGGAACUAAUCCAUUCCUGUGAGAGUGAGAACUACUCACUUCUGUGACUCAUAAGAGCAAUGCCUCCAUCAUCUAAACACCUUCCACGAGGCCCCAACUCCCAACACUACCAUAUUGGGAAUCCAAUUUCAUCAUGAGUUUUGAAGGGGACACACUCAAUCCGUAACAAUACCUAAUCACUCUUGCCUAUCUUUGGCAAGAAUCUUGUGAAGUCAUUAGAAUCCUCCUACUCUGGAGAACUCCUCUUAGUUAUUUUUCGUCCACUGGCCCCCUCACCCUGCUCUUUGAGCUUAAAUUCUCACUUUUCCUUCUGGUAUUCAGAAUUGAGUUCAGCUCAACACCAGUCUUGUUUUUCGAUUGUAGUAGUUUCUGAAUAAAUCGAUUUUACUGCUUUAACUAGUGACUAGCUCUUGUUUUCUUUGAUAACCCAUGGUGCAGUUCAAUAUGUUCCUUUGUCCUCAGUAUUUUAUAUAAAUGGGCAGCUGGAUCUGGAAAAUGGGUCAGACUCAUGUUCAAUUCUCUGGGCAAAUAUGUAGGUGGUGGUGGUAUGUUUUUUAACAGGAAGCCCCAUUUUCUCUGGUUGUUUUUUUUUUCUGAUGUUAGAAGCCUUUGAUGUUCAUG
rnacentral:lncRNA from 1 species